UGGGGAAUAUUGCACAAUGGGCGCAAGCCUGAUGCAGCCAUGCCGCGUGUAUGAAGAAGGCCUUCGGGUUGUAAAGUACUUUCAGCGGGGAGGAAGGUGUUGAGGUUAAUAACCUCAGCAAUUGACGUUACCCGCAGAAGAAGCACCGGCUAACUCCGUGCCAGCAGCCGCGGUAAUACGGAGGGUGCAAGCGUUAAUCGGAAUUACUGGGCGUAAAGCGCACGCAGGCGGUCUGUCAAGUCGGAUGUGAAAUCCCCGGGCUCAACCUGGGAACUGCAUUCGAAACUGGCAGGCUAGAGUCUUGUAGAGGGGGGUAGAAUUCCAGGUGUAGCGGUGAAAUGCGUAGAGAUCUGGAGGAAUACCGGUGGCGAAGGCGGCCCCCUGGACAGAGACUGACGCUCAGGUGCGAAAGCGUGGGGAGCAAACA
rnacentral:rRNA from 1 species